CGUGGCCCUAAAAAGCAAAAAAAAAAAAAAUUAUAUUUUUGUUUUUGUUUGAAUUCAUAUUCUUCCUGCCUACCUCCUUCCUUUUCUUCCUUUUGUUUCUGUGAAUGAGUCAUCAGGCUGCUCCUGUGAUUGAGGAUGAGUAACUGGGUUACUUACUGGGAAGACUGUUUAUUCCAAGUUGGAUUGUUUCAGGCAAAUGUCCUCAGUUCCUUGCAGUGUCCCUGCCCUGUCCCCUGGGGUAGAGGUCUGUCAGGACUUUUCUUCCGUGGACCACCCCAGCUCCUCUGCUCUCUGAGGGUGAUCAGCUUUGAUGAUCUCAGGCUCUUGGUGAGGCCCUUUCAGAUGCAUGUGCAGCACCUCUGAGGUCCUGUGGGGGCCCUCUGUUGUUUUAAGGAGUUGCCUUUGCAGCUGUGCAGGUGCUGGGUCACAGAGGGGUCUUCUCCCAAACUUUUGGACAUUCAGCAUUUUAUGAAAACUCACAUAACAUAUUUAUCCUGUAGACCUGAAAAUACCCAGUCAAUAGGUCCAUGUCAGAUGUCAAACCAUGGGACUAAAAGAGACCACAGGCUUGAUCUAGACAUCCCUGUCCUUAUCACUGUCCCCUCCCAGGGUGUGAUGAGGAGAAGCAGCCGGAGCUAGGAGCCCAGCUUUGGAUAUGGAGACUCCAGGCAAGGCUUCUACUCCUCACUCACGCUGUGUUGCAGGUAAGGCCCCUUUCAGUUCCUGUGCUGGUUCUAAACCAUUUCAGAAGAAUGGCUGGCUGACCUAGAGAUGCUAGCGUUUCCUCCCUAAGCCUAGAAAUGCACUGGGCGUUGCGUGCAGGUCCCAGACUGGAGGAAGGGCCUGAUGCUCAGCUUGGUUGACACUGAUAUUGGAGCCUGUCUCCCUCUGUCCUCUUUCAACACUUGCAGCCACCUUCAGUUAUUUGUUCCGCCAGCUCUCGAGGUUCAUGUUUAAGAGUCUUUUGAAUGCUUGAUCCAAAUACCACCACCUCCAGUUUAAGCUCAUGGCUUUUAUUUUACUUUAAAAUGAUUAUAGUUUUAAUUUUUUUUAAAUUUUUUACAAUUUUAUUGAAGUGUAGUUGACCUACAAUGUGGUAUUAAUUUUUGCUGUAGAGCAAAGUCAUUCUGUUAGACGUAUGCACAUAUGGAUUCUUUUUCAGAUUCUCUGCCUAUAUGUAUGUGGCCAUCGCUUUCUUGAUGGGUCCUCAAAGGAACUUUUGCCAACUCAUCCCCAAGUCCUUGAUUUGCAGAAUAUUGUGUUUGGCUGAAAAAGGUCUCAGGUGAAGUACAUCACCAGCAGUACACGGCGCAGAAUUUCCACACCACCUUCUUCAUUCCAUUAUGCUGCUUUCUGGAAACAUAAAUCUCUUCUAAUUAUGAGUAUAUAUAUUUAUUAUCUGACAAGCAAAUCUAGUUUGCCUUUCUGUGAAAUUACUUCACUGCAGUGUAACUUCUAGGAGCAUAUUUAACAUCAAUAAAAAAUAAGCCCGCGUUAUUGAAACCAUACAUUAUGCUCAGGACAAGAACAAGAAGAUCUCUGUAGCACAAUGGAAAAGUUAAUUGGAAAAUAUGAUUAACGGAGAAGUCCACAGGGUCACAUGGAAACCGUUUUCCUUGCUGCCUCUCAGGGUAGCCAUUUAAACUCUUGAAGAUGCUUUCUCUGAUCCUGAGAGUAUGGAACUGAUGUUGCAGAGUGUUGUGUACGUCCCAGACCAGGAUGAAUUCGAGAUGCAUGCCCUACCCUCCUAGUUCUCAUAGUUUAGCUGGGCAGAGUUUGUAAGGUGGCACAGUGUUCCAGAACUGGCAAAGUCAGUUCUUGCACAGGUAAAGACAGCACCAUCUGACAGGCCCCUGGUACAGUCUGCUGGUGGUGCUCUUAUGCAUAUAGUCUGGGGAAGGCCGUUAAUACAGGAGAUGCCCGUGGAGUGCGGCAGUCCCUUGGCAGUGGCUGCUACUUGCCUCUUAAAACUGGAGGAAACUCUGUUUCCAAAUCUUGUUUUUAUUUUUUAUUUUGUAAUCAGCAUAAAAUCUGGAAUGAGGAGAAUUAUAUCUGAAGUGCUCUUUCUCAAAGAGAAAAAUGAGCAGAGUCAGCUCUAUCAUCUCUACCCUGAUUGUAAUGCUAAAUUAGGGAAGAUAAAUGUACCUGAUUUAUAGUUUCAAAGACUGCACUGCUUAACAUCUCCUCUCUAGGGCUCCUAUGGACUGAAGAGGGUCCAUAGCAAACCUCACAAUGCAAAUUACUCACAGUAUGUUCCUAUAAUUCAAACAACAACAAAAGAAUCACAAUGCUCUCUACAGAGUGCCUGUAAAUAACUGUGGUUUUAAUUAAGCCCUCAGUGAAAUGAAAAAAAGAAAAGAAUUUUUGGGACGUCCUCCAGCACCUCACGUAGCCCUCAGAGCUUGGAUCUACUGGGUUGGAACCCAGAAAGGUCCAGUCUGUUCUUGGCCGUGCAGCCCCUACCUCCUCCUGCCCCCUUAAAAAGGAGCUGUGCACUGUGGCUUUGCUUGGUGGCCAGAAGAGAGCUCUGUGGGGACAGAGUGUGCAGCCUGCUUUGCUUGACAUCACAGUGAGGGAACAUGAACUCAGCAACUGUUCAGUGAGUGGGGACCCUUAGGACCUGACCCAUCACACUCAGAGCAUAAACCAACCACAGGUAAUGAAUGUGAUGGGAGGACACCACUGUAUUUAUGUCAUCAUUUCGUGGAUUCGUUAUAAAGCAAAACGAUCCUAGGGUCUUGAGAGUCCAUGCUUAUUCAGUAUCUUAAAACUAGGAAGCAUUUACAAGAUUGUGAAG
rnacentral:lncRNA from 1 species